ensembl:lncRNA
AUCACAACACCUCGGGUAAGAAGAGGACACAGACAACACAUAUUAACGCACAGAUACUACAAAACCAGUUCUUAUGGCAUUUAUGUUAAUGUUUGUACAAAUGCUUCAGACCCCCAGUGUGUCUCUGCAGCUAAUAACAGCGCAGAAUGGCUGCAACUCAACUUUGGUUUCUUCUCAAGCUUUGCCUCUAUCAUCGACUUCUACACACUCAACCCUUAUUUCUCUGGACUGGAGGCUCUUGACCUCCUGACUCCAAAUCAGACGGUAGAGUUGCUGCUGUUGACUCUCCCAACUCCACCAGAGAAAGACGUUGUCAUCAGCCAAGUGUUUAACUUCCUGACGGAGUCACCUGCAGCCAGGAAGUACCCAGAGGUCCUCAGCGCUUUGGUCAGGCUCGCUGGAAAGGUAAUAGCUUUGGCUGAGAUGUGUAGGUGUUGAGCAUGCUUUAGCCUUCCUCAAAUAUUAAUCAUAAAAUAUGCAAUUUUUCAGAUCAAUCCUUCCUGCGACAUCUACAAACAAAUGUGAGUACCUUCAAAUGGUUUUCUGACACAAUAUGACUUAUGAUUCUUUCCAAACUGUUUUGUUCUUUGUAUGAAUCAGGAAAACUCUCUCACAGCAGACCAUGUUCAAGCUAAGGCUUCACUGCAAUGCAUUAAUGGCUAAAGCUGAACCAUUGCUAUUGCUAUUACUAAAUUCACCCUGAGAAAAACAGAAAGAGAAAGAAAUUAGAUUAAACUAUAAAUCACGGCAUUAAUAUAGCUUAUUAACUGGAUUAAUACAGGAUAAUGUAGAAAAAUUAAUUACAUCACAGGCAGUCAUUUUUAAUGCAGAUUUAAUUUCAG